rnacentral:rRNA from 1 species
GACGAACGCUGGCGGCGUGCUUAACACAUGCAAGUCGAACGGAAAGGCCCUGCUUUUGUGGGGUGCUCGAGUGGCGAACGGGUGAGUAACACGUGAGUAACCUGCCCUUGACUUUGGGAUAACUUCAGGAAACUGGGGCUAAUACCGGAUAGGAGCUCCUGCUGCAUGGUGGGGGUUGGAAAGUUUCGGCGGUUGGGGAUGGACUCGCGGCUUAUCAGCUUGUUGGUGGGGUAGUGGCUUACCAAGGCUUUGACGGGUAGCCGGCCUGAGAGGGUGACCGGCCACAUGAGGACUGAGAUACGGCCCAGACUCCUACGGGAGGCAGCAGUGGGGAAUAUUGCACAAUGGGCGGAAGCCUGAUGCAGCAACGCCGCGUGCGGGAUGACGGCCUUCGGGUUGUAAACCGCUUUCGCCUGUGACGAGGCGUGAGUGACGGUAAUGGGUAAAGAAGCACCGGCUAACUACGUG